UCUCUCUCUCACUCCCCCCCACUUCACUCUUGCUUAUUUCACAAGCCAGCGCGCCAGUAGCAAGGGCAUCAUCCCCACAUCGCGUUCCAAGCCCGAGCAAACGAAUACCAUGCCCAGAUUGCCCGGAGCUCGACCGUCUUUCCCGGCACCGGCAACUUAGACGUCGUCGUUCUCCAUCCCCGCAAUCUAUCGAACAAGUGGUGGGCGCCACCGACCUCGCCGCCGACCACCGUCUUCACCGCUCCCGUGGACCUCGCUUCCUCCUUUUCUUCGCUUGUUGAGCACCCUGAGGAAGAAUACGUCGAAGAAGAAGAGGGUGAGUUUGUUG